UUUCAAUUCCUAUCAGGUAGAGAGAGUGAAAAUUUUUCGAAUGUGCUGUAGCUAUCGUUUUAACAAUCGGCUAAUUAAUGGAAUCAUAGCAUCGUGUGAGUUUUUAGAAUUUAUUCUUCUCGCGUCUCUCUCUUUAUGUUCCUACUUUCUACCUCGGAAGAAAGGGGAUGGUCGCAGCCUCCGUUUGCUACUUUACCGAUCACGACUUGAACUCACGGUGGCGUGCCAGGACUGUGUCACUCUCCGAGGCAUCGUGGUCAUGCUUUCCCAGUGGCACUCUAUGAAAGGGAUGAUGUCCUUGUCCUUGUGAAAUACGACCCUGUGCUCUCUGUCCUUUAUGCUCAUUUGCAAGAGAUUGGCGAUGGCAGUGGCGCACAUUUGGGGAAAUGCUGUAAACAGUGCGAAACGAUGCUUGGUUUACGUUUGUUCGAGCCUGGCCGAUGGAAUUCUGUUAAGCCAACUGGAAGAAAGCCGCUUACGAGCUUGAUUCUUUUUGAAACUUUCCAACCCUGUUGGAGAACAAUUCUUGCACAUGAAGACGUAGUUCAUCAUGAACGGAACAAGCUUUCCCAGCUGAUAGCCGAUGCAGGAUUCGUGAUACCAUCUCGAGCAGCUA